rnacentral:rRNA from 3 species
CAAAUGACUCUCGGCAAUGGAUAUCUCGGCUCUUGCAUCGAUGAAGAACGUAGUGAAAUGCGAUACUUGGUGUGAAUUGCAGAAUCUCGUGAACCAUUGAGUCUUUGAACGCAAGUUGUGCCCGAGGCCUUGUGGCCGAGGGCACGCCUGCUUGGGCGUCAUUG